ensembl:lncRNA
AUAUCCUCUAUCGUAUUCUACAACAAAAACAAUCAGAGCGCCUUGUUAUCACUAGUUUUAUUUUGAUUUCCCGAGUCCGCUAGUAGCUUAUAGCCCAUUAGCAUCACCAGCGUGGUUGUCGCUAAACCCGCGUGCAUCGCUAAUACUCUAUUCACACACAUUACAAUUGCUUUACUCACUGUUACUUGCUAAACUGCUCUUUGUUAAUAAUUGGAAUCUUUUCUGGGAGCGACCUAGGCUUUUUCGCGCUGAUGGCCUGCACCCCAGCAGAGUCGGAGCGGAGCUGCUCUCGGACAACAUCUCCAGAACUCUACGCUCCAUUUGACUAGAUUUACACAAGCUCCAGUCUGGAUCCAGAACACCUGAGAAGAGAUGAUGCCAGCCCCUCAGAGGACCUCAGAUGAUGCUAACCCAGAGACAACAUACAGAACUACCACAUUUUGCUAUAAGUUUGAUUGCAUAAUUGCUGUUAAUAGUGUUAAUCGUCUGUUUGUUUACGUCUUUUUAUUGAUUUUUCUGAACAUUUCUGCCAUAUGCACAUGAACUGACAGUUACCACUGAUAAGCUACUACUAAAUAUUGUAGAAACUUAAUUUUCUGUAAAGUUGCUUUGUAAUGAUUUGUAUCCUAAAAAGCGCU